AAACAUGGCCUUUGGUAAGCAUAAAAGGUCCAGCCUGCCCACUGCAAGUUGAAGGGCCGCGGUAAUUUGACCGUGCAAAGGUAGCAUAAUCAUUAGUCUCUUAAUUAGGGGCUGGCAUGAACGGCUAGACGCAAUGGGCGCUGUCUCACAAUAAAUAUUAAAUUUUACUUUUUAGUGAGAAGGCUAAAAUAAAGUUGGAGGACGAGAAGACCCUAUAGAUCUUAAUAUAAGAGAGUUUACUGGUUUGGACAAGGUGCGCGUAAUGAUAAUUAUAUUUGAUUGGGGUGAUUAAGAAAUAAAUAAACUUUUUUGAAAUAAACAUAUAUGUGUGAACAAAGGAUCCAUUGUUAUGAUUAUAAGACUAAGUUACCUUAGGGAUAACAGCAUAAUCUUUCUGGAGAGCUCUAAUCGAGAGAAAGGAUUGUGACCUCGAUGUUGGAUUAGAAUGGGGCAUGGGCGCAGAAGUUCAAACUACCAAGUCUGUUCGACUUUUAAAAUUCUACGUGAUCU
rnacentral:rRNA from 1 species